UUGGCUUUAUUAAUUCGAUGUUGUCUAGCUUUACUUUGUUCUUCUUUUCAUUUUAUAAGUCUCCAAGAUAUUUAUUGUGAAUACUUUUGGCUAUUUAGAGGAACUUUCUUUGAGGUGGAUGCAAGGACAGUAGAAAGCUUUGUUGGGUUAGAUAGGAGCAAAUUUGUGCACACAAAAUAAAUGGAAAGCUUGGGUGUCAAAUAUUUGAAUUUUUAUUAACAUUGCUUUACUUAGUAAAAAUGGAAGUGGAGGUUUUUGGUGAAUGAUGAUGCUAUUUGAUAUUAAUUCUUGGAAUUUUAAUAUGGAUCUUUAAGAGCCACGGUGACUCGACUAGAGGAUUAUAUUAGUUCUAGAAAACCCUAAUUAUGGUAGCGUGAUUUGGAAAGUGUUGAGGAUGUCUCUUAGUUUAAAAGUGGACUGCACCUAAGACUUGGUUCAGGGGAAGUGACCCAACUUUGGCAUGAUUAGUGGGUUUGGCCUUUCUCCUUUGAGAAUUUGUUUCCUCGUUUGUUCCAUGUUGCUAUGAAUAAAUUAUGUUGUGUAGCAAAGAUGGAUUGCUUUGAAUGUAAGAUGUGAGCAUUGUCUUGUAGUUGACACAAGAUUCUAUUAUUAGGGGAGUUGAUGAAUAUUUAGUGUAUGUUAUGUCUAAAAAAAUGAAGCGGUUUGGAUAUCCGAAAAAAAUAAGUGAUUAUUAUGUUAAGAGUGGGUAUAAUGUUAUGUUAAACAAUCAUUUUUAUAUAACUUCUAAUGAUGGAUUAUUGCUAGCUUUUCAACAUUCAUGGCAAUGUGCAAUGUUGUCGAAGGUUCAGGUUUUUGUAUGGUGACUGUUCAGAAAACGAUUACCAGCAUCGUAAAAAUUGUGUCUAACACUACUAGAAAAUUGUAUUUUAGCUGCCAAUAUUAGCAUCGGUCCCUGACUCCGACACUACUUAGCGUCGGCGUGGCGUCGGUUGCCGACGCUACUUAAAAUAAAUCUGACACGAGUUUAUUCAUUUAAUUUUUUAUUUUACUAGUUAGCGUCGGAGGUGCCGACGCGACGUUACUUUUAAACUUUUUAGUAUUAAUUGUGAAAUCAGAUUGAGCCUUAUGUUAAAAUUAAUAACAUAUCGUGAACCCUUCUCCUUCUCUCACACUUUGUCAAGGAUGAACCCUACAUUUUGAAUCUGAAAUUGAAUCCAUCACCGGUUCAUAUUGAAUCUGAAAUUGAAUCCAUAUUGGUGAGCCCUUCUCUCACACUUUGUCACCGAUUCUCAUCCCUCUCAAUGCCAUGAGUAUCGACGCCAAACCCGUUCCCAUCUCGAAUAUGUGAGUAUCAAACUCGUCCCCCUCUCGAACCUGUGACCCUAUCGAAUCUGUGACCCUCUCGAACCUGUCACCGUCACCCUCAGAGUCGCCGUUCAGUGUCGUCGUCUCGCUCUCAUCUGUGAACGACUUCAAGGUUAAGCUCACCCAUGAAUGCAUAGGUUUCACUCUCUUAUUCGAACCUCACCCAUUGCAUUGCCUUUCGUUAAAGCAACCCAUUGUCUAGCAAUAAAAUCAGGUUUCAUAUCAGAACUCUACACAUCCAACAACCUCAUAACAGCCUAGGUAAAAUGCAAGGAACUUAAUCUUGCUCACCAACUGUUCGACGAAAUGCCUCAACCAGAUACUGUAUCAUGGAAUGUUGUCAUUUCAAAGCAACAUGAUGUUUGUUCUUGCAGUUUCCAAUGAUAUCAACCUCAAUGCAAAUAUGACUUUUGUUGUUGAGGAGUUCAAGAAUUGCAUACUCCAAUAAAAGAUGGUGGUCCUUUCUUGCAGCUUUAAAAGAACUCUCAUUUUUUGGCUAGAGUAGAUAAUAUCUACAAAAAUUCAAAGUUUUGUUUCUCCCUGAUAAAAAUUCUGAGUAAGGUCGCAGAAGAGGCUAGGGAGCGUUCAAAGAAGUUAGAGAAUGAUUUUGAUGCAUUAAAGCAAUUUUUUGGAGAUAAAAUUGACGCUUUGCACCGUCAAUCAGCUGGUGGAUCAUCUACUGCGAGUCAUCCUCCUUCGCAUCCUCAUUACGAUCAUAAUUUGGACGAUGUGUCGCUGGACGAACCUUAAUGUCAUAGUUAUGCUUACUUUUUGUAGUAAUUGGUUGACAAUUAUGUAUUAAGUUAACUUUGUUAAAGUUGUUAUUCGAUACUAUCUUGUUAUUUUGUAGUUUCAAAACACAUAAUACUUUGUUGAGUAAUUUAAUACUCUGGUGCGUUUAUUUUGUUAACAA